CUGCGGAGGGAUCAUUACCGAGUUUACAACUCCCAAACCCCUGUGAACAUACCAAUUGUUGCCUCGGCGGAUCAGCCCGCUCCCGGUAAAACGGGACGGCCCGCCAGAGGACCCCUAAACUCUGUUUCUAUAUGUAACUUCUGAGUAAAACCAUAAAUAAAUCAAAACUUUCAACAACGGAUCUCUUGGUUCUGGCAUCGAUGAAGAACGCAGCAAAAUGCGAUAAGUAAUGUGAAUUGCAGAAUUCAGUGAAUCAUCGAAUCUUUGAACGCACAUUGCGCCCGCCAGUAUUCUGGCGGGCAUGCCUGUUCGAGCGUCAUUUCAACCCUCAAGCCCCCGGGUUUGGUGUUGGGGAUCGGCGAGCCCUUGCGGGCAAGCCGGCCCCGAAAUCUAGUGGCGGUCUCGCUGCAGCUUCCAUUGCGUAGUAGUAAAACCCUCGCAACUGGUACGCGGCGCGGCCAAGCCGUUAAACCCCCAACUUCUGAAUGUUGACCUCGGAUCAGGUAGGAAUACCCGCUGAACUUAAGCAUAUCAA
rnacentral:rRNA from 1 species